rnacentral:rRNA from 1 species
GUGGGGGAUAUUGCACAAUGGAGGGAACUCUGAUGCAGCGACGCCGCGUGAGGGAAGACGGUUUUCGGAUUGUAAACCUCUGUCUUCGGGGACGAUAAUGACGGUACCCGAGGAGGAAGCCACGGCUAACUACGUGCCAGCAGCCGCGGUAAUACGUAGGUGGCAAGCGUUGUCCGGAAUUACUGGGUGUAAAGGGAGCGUAGGCGGGAAUGCAAGUCAAGUGUUAAAUCUAUCGGCUCAACUGAUAGCUGCGCUUGAAACUGCGUUUCUUGAGUGAAGUAGAGGCAGGCGGAAUUCCUAGUGUAGCGGUGAAAUGCGUAGAUAUUAGGAGGAACACCAGUGGCGAAGGCGGCCUGCUGGGCUUUUACUGACGCUGAGGCUCGAAAGCGUGGGGAGCAAACAGGAUUAGAAACCCCAGUAGUCC